GCUAGCCCUUGGUUCCGUCCAUGAAUUGUUGUAGAUUUUGAUUUCUGGGAUUUGUGAUUUGUUUUUGGUGUCCUUGAGAAGAACGCUGUUCUUUUGAAGAGCAAAUGAGCAGUCACAAGAUGGUCUAUUGCGAGAGAGUGUCCUAUAAUGUUCUAAUUGCAUCAAAACAAAAUAUCCUUGAGCAUAUAAAGCUUGAUUUGCUGCCACCAAAUUGUUGUUAGCUAAUAUUUGAUAUAUUGGUGAGAACACAUGACCUCAACCAGGAAAAUCUUGAAAAUUUCUGAAAGUGCUAUUUUUUGACGGAAUAGAAGCUUUUACCAACUUAAGUAACCUUGUAAAUUUGAAUCUUGAGAGGUGCUCAAGAAUUCAUGGGGGAAUAAUUCAUUUGAGAGGUAUAACUAAACUUAAGUUUCUUUUAUUAAGUACUGUAAUAGUGUGACAGAUGAAGGCAAGUUGCCUCUUUCAGGUUUGCAUGAACUUUCUCAUCUAGACUUGCAAGGAUGCCCUGUGAUUGCUGCUUCAUUUGGAAUUAUCUCAGGGUUAAUUGAGACCUUGAAUUUGGAUCCUUGCAAAAUUAGUUGUGAAGGUCUGUUGAACAUCAAAGGUGAGUGUAACAAUUCCACAUUAAGGUUAGCAAUAUGUUAGGUGCGUUCAAAUUUCUUCAUUUGCUCCAGUCUCCAUUUUGUGCAUAUCUUGAGCUCGAUAUCCAUCACUGAAUAGUGUGACAACUAUCAUAAUUAUCCUGAGAAUCUGCAAGUCCUUCUUUGCAUGCUUCCAUCUGUUGUUGCAGGACUGACAUCAUUGAGAACUUUGGAAUUGUCAGAAACUGGAGUGAAAAGCGAAGUGGUCAGUCAUCUUUCUGGUUUGCCCUUUCAUUGAAUUUCACAUACAAAAAAUACAUAAUUCAUAUGUAUCAUUCUUUGAGGUUGACUUAUAUGUAGUGAACAAUCGCGUGCCAUUUCAGUUUGUAGAGUUUGCUAUUCAUUGCGUUAGUUUUGUAGGAUUGCCAUUCUCACUAGUAUUUCAUUGCUUUGAUGAUUUUGUGAUUAUCCUGUCCCUACUAUGAAUAUCAGUCCAAGUUGUAUUGUACAUAUAACAACUUGAUCACAAUUUCUGAUAAAGUUGAACAGUUUUUUUUUCAUUUAAAGAUGUUUUCUUCUAUGGGAAUUAAUGCUCUGAAAGUUACAACAGUCUAGAAUUCAUUAUACCUAUUACUAAAAGUUAUACAGGCCCUUAGCAAUAGGAGGGAUUGGUGAAGGUUUGUUUUGAUGAUUACCAAAUGAAUGAGAGCUAAUUUAUAUUCUAUUAAAUCUUGAAUUUGGUGCAUUCAUAUUGUUAUAGGCAGUCAUUAUAACUAAGGCUAAGGCUGACCCUUUUAGUGGUCAACUAAGAAAAAGAGGUGGUUAAAGAAUGUCUUCUUUCAGAAGAAUUUGGCAUGGAUGAUAACUUUGGAAAUAAAAAGCUAGUAAGUACCUCUAGUACCUUAUGUUUUUCUGUUAUUGUCCUGUUUUUAUUAUUGUUUCAAGCUUCAAGGUGCAAUAACAGUAACUUAAGUCUUAAGAGAUACCAGUUUCAAUAUAUUUUUUACUUAAGCUGUGAAUCUAGUUUUAAUAUCCAUUUAUGCAUGUGAAGAAGAUAAUGCUUUUAGAACUUCUGUUUGGUUAUGGUUUAUUAGAGAUAUAUCAUUUAACAAAUGCGAAUUGUGAUGUAUAUUUUGCGAAAUUAUACUUAUGUUUGUGGAAAUAUUGAAUUGUUUGGUAUUAUUACUUCAUUCAGCCAUAUUUGUGAAAAUUAAACUUCCAGUAUUAUAGUGUGAGCCAUAAGUUCUGUUGCUUGCUUGAAUAAUACAUUGUGUUAGCUGCUUAAGUCAUCAAUCCAGUAGUUAUUCAUGCUCCUAGUUUCAUUAUUGUCUUCUUCUUCUUCUUCUUUUUAAUCAAUAAAUGAUGUAUCUGUUCGAUCAUAGCAUUGAGGAAAACACAUUGACUAGUCAUUUUCAAAAAGACAUCAGCACAUAGGGAAAUUAGGGUCAGCAGAUGAUGGCAACAUUGCACAACCACCAUUCUGUAUUGUUCGCGCACUUCAACAGGUUGCUAAAUACAAUGUAAGGAUCUCCAGUAAGUAAAACGAACCAAUUGCUUGAAAGGAGUUUGGCUGUUGGUUCAUUUUUCCUUUCCUUUCUGAAAACCUGAAGAUAGGUCUUUGAUAUGUUGUUUAUGACAAUUUUCCUUUUAGUCAAUGAUGCAGCUUUAUAAUAUGCUGUUCACUUGGUUCCAUAAAUUGUCAAAUUCAAUGUAUUUGAAGAUAGCACUUGUAUGAUUAGCCUGAUUUAUUUGCUUUGUGUAGA